rnacentral:rRNA from 1 species
GAUGAACGCUGGCGGCGUGCCUAAUACAUGCAAGUCGAGCGAACGGACGAGAAGCUUUCUUCUCUGAUGUUAGCGGCGGACGUGUGAGUAACACGUGGAUAACCUACCUAUAAGACUGGGAUAACUUCGGUAACCCGGAGCUAAUACCGGAUAAUAUUUUGAACCGCAUGGUUCAAAAGUGAAAGCCGGUCUUGCUGUCACUUAUAGAUGGAUCCGCGCUGCAUUAGCUAGUUGGUAAGGUAACGGCUUACCAAGGCAACGAUGCAUAGCCGACCUGAGAGGGUGAUCGGCCACACUGGAACUGAGACACGGGCCCGACUCCUACGGGAGGCAGCAGUAGGGAAUCUUCCGAAAUGGGCGAAAGCCUGACGGAGCAACGGCGCGUGAGUGAUGAAGGUCUUCGGAUCGGAAAACUCUGUUAUUAGGGAAGAACAUAUGUGUAAGUAACUGUGCACAUCUUGACGGUACCUAAUCAGAAAGCCACGGCUAAAUACGUG